rnacentral:rRNA from 1 species
UAAUACGGAGGGUGCGAGCGUUAUUCGGAUUUAUUGGGCGUAAAGAGCGUGUAGGCGGUUGGGUUAGUCAGAUGUGAAAUCCUUCUGCUCAAGUGAAGAAGUGCAUCUGAAACUACCCGACUUGAGUACGAGAGAGGAAAGUGGAAUUCCCAGUGUAGAGGUGAAAUUCGUAGAUAUUGGGAGGAACACCUGUGGCGAAGGCGACUUUCUGGAUCGAUACUGACGCUGAGACGCGAAAGCGUGGGGAGCAAACAGGAUUAGAUACCCUGGUAGUCCACGCCGUAAACGAUGGGAACUAGGUGUAGUGGGUAUUGAUCCCUGCUGUGCCGAAGCCAACGCAUUAAGUUCCCCGCCUGGGGAGUACGGUCGCAAGGCUA